rnacentral:rRNA from 1 species
CGCUGGCGGCGUGCUUAACACAUGCAAGUCGAACGAUGAAGCGGUGCUUGCACCGUGGAUUAGUGGCGAACGGGUGAGUAAUACGUGAGUGACCUACCUUUGACUCUGGGAUAAGCCUGGGAAACUGGGUCUAAUACCGGAUACGACCAAUCUCUGCAUGGGGUGUUGGUGGAAAGCGUUAUGGAGUGGUUUUAGAUGGGCUCACGGCCUAUCAGCUUGUUGGUGAGGUAAUGGCUUACCAAGGCGACGACGGGUAGCCGGCCCUGAGAGGGUGACCGGCCACACUGGGACUGAGACACGGCCCAGACUCCUACGGGAGGCAGCAGUGGGGAAUAUUGCACAAUGGGCGCAAGCCUGAUGCAGCGACGCCGCGUGAGGGAUGACGGCCUUCGGGUUGUAAACCUCUGUUAGCAUCGAAGAAGCGAAAGUGACGGUAGGUGCAGAGAAAGCGCCGGCUAACUAC